UUUUCGGUUGAUCCUGCCGGACCUGACUGCUAUCGGAUUGGUACUAAGCCAUGCGAGUCGUUGUAGCAAUACAAGGCGGACUGCUCAGUAACACGUAGUUAACUUAACCUAUGGAUGGGAAUAACCUCGGGAAACUGAGAAUAAUACCCAAUGGGCCACAGUGCCUGGAAUGGCCUGUGGUUGAAAUGAUUUAUCGCCGUAGGAUAGGACUGCGGCCUAUCAGCUUGUUGGUGAGGUAAUGGCCCACCAAGGCUAUAACAGGUACGGGCUCUGAGAGGAGGGGCCCGGAGAUGGGUACUGAGACACGGACCCAGGCCCUAUGGGGCGCAGCAGGCGAGAAACCUUUGCAAUGUGCGAAAGCACGACAAGGUUAAUCCGAGUGUCUCCUGCUAAAGGAGUCUUUUGUCAGUUGUAGAAUCACUGGUGAAUAAGGGGUGGGCAAGUUCUGGUGACAGCCGCCGCGGUAAAACCAGCACCUCGAGUGGUCAGGAGGUUUAUUGGGCCUAAAGCAUCCGUAGCCGGUUGCAUAAGUUUUCGGUUAAAUCUAUGCGCUUAACGUAUAGGCCGCCGAAAAUACUGUGCAGCUA
rnacentral:rRNA from 1 species